rnacentral:lncRNA from 1 species
AUGUUUGUGGAAUUGUACAUUUAGUAUUAAUCUAUCUUUUUUAUUUUUUUUAACUACAUGCUAUAAAUAAGGAGAUGCCUACUUAAUAGUUUAAAUAUUUUGCUGGUAACUGCAAUAAAAUCGGCUACACCUAAAAUCUAAAAAGGGAAGCAGGCAUCCCCUGCGAAGUGAUCAGUAUGCAUGGAGAUGAUUGUGUCUUUUUUGUACACAAAGAUGGAUUCGAUCGAUCCAGGCAUACUUCUUUGGGCCGGGUCGUACGUAGGCCUGAGCUUGUUGUCCAUGAGAAACAUAUAUGGGUCGUUUGAGAAAAAAUGAAAGUCCCGAGUUGCAUGCAACGACUAGAGUAGUGCGUCGAGGAACAACGGUCAUAAUACCGCCCUGCUCUCUUAUUAAUUCCAGUCUCUUCUACCGCGGCUAGUGCCCUCUUCUUCUGCUUCUUCUACCGCUUCUUUUUGACUUCUUUUAGGCAACAGUCUGGUGUGGUGACUGUUUCAAGCCGACAAUGAGAAAGAAAGGAAUGAAAGGGAGACAACGGUCUAGUGAAAGAAGAGGGAGGCAACGGUCUAGGGAAAUAAACGUACUAGACCGUGUUCUGAGUGUCAAUUAUCUAGAGUGAAAAACAUUAUAAUAGAUUAGCACAUAAUUAAUUAAUUAUUAAUUAUUAGAAAAUAUAGAAUAGAUUAAUAUGAUUUUUUAAAACAACUUUUUUAUAGAAUUUUUUUGUAAGAAGUAUACCAUCUAGCAGUUCAGAAAACGUGUACGCGGAAAAUGAGGGGAGUUUAGAUAACUUAGCAUAGCAUGCUGAACCUGGCCCUAGUUGCUACAACGGGAAACUACUCCCUCCGUCUCAAAAUAAACCAAUCUUUCAUUUUUUAGCUAUAAUCUUUGAACUUUGUCUUACUAAAAAAAAUAUGAUUAAUAUUUUUUAUUAGAUGAUAAAUCAUGUAUAGUACUUUACGUGUGACCAUUUUCUUUAAUUUUUUGAAAAAAUUUUAAAUAAGAUGGAUGGUCAAAAGUUAGGCUUAUUUUGCGACGUAGGGAGUAGUUGAGGGUAUAUAAUCAUGACAUGUCCAAUAAUUAGGAAGGUCAUUAAAAAAUGUUUUUUUACCGUCCUUAAAAAAAGUUCUUGAGGUACCGAAAAUUUUAGUGCAAAAUUCUGAUACCUUGAGAUCUGAAAAAUAUGAUACCUUCAGGUGCAUAUUAAAAAAGCUCUUAUAAAAAAUACUUCUGUCAAGACAAAGUUGAAUUAAAAAAGAGAGUAAGCAAGAUAUGCCUUCCUGAACAUGGAAGAAAUUAAAUGUGAAAUCACAACGUACCAUUUCAUUGUAGCAACCCCUUCUCAGCCUCACAUGGUCCGGCACAGCAUCGAUCAUGAAUUAAUACCGGUGAAUUAACAAAACCACUGGAUCGAUUUGUCCGAAUAUAGAGCAAGCAACUGUAAUCACUAGGACCGUCCAUAGCAAGGACGGUAAGGAGAUGGCCGCAAUGACAUAUUUGGCUCCCGAUCGAUCAGCUUGAGCAAAUUCUACAUCCCAAUUCCUCAAAUUUUCUUGUUUCCGAGACAAAAUGGACGAAUUCGACCAACUUCAUAUGGAAAUGAAGGUGCCAACAAAGUUGCAAGCUCAAUAUCAUCAACGUAGUGCGGUUUUGAGAGCAACAGAAUUAAUUAAGCUCCUGGAAUCAAUGGAUCAUCGAUCAGCGUCGGGUAUGGAUGAGAAAGGUUAAUUCAUGGCGAUCGCUAGGUAGUGCAGUGCAUUUAACUGAAACUAAUACUGCAAAUUAAGAGAAUAAGCCUGGGAUUAAUUGCAGUGUCAAAAGAAAGAGAGAUGCUAGGUAGUGCAGUGCAUUUAACUGAAACUAAUACUGCAAAUUAAGAGAAUAACUUUACCCUAUGCAGAAAAGGUCAAGGUGUAGAGGCUAAUAUAUGUCCGCGAAGAUAAUGGGUGGAGAUUGGGG